UGUUGUUAGGACAGCUAGGAGCACCCCAUCCAGUCCGAUCUCAGAAGCUAAGCAGGACUGGGCCUGGUUAGUACUCUGAUGGGAGACCCCCCUUGAAGACCAGGGGCCGUCAGCAA
rnacentral:rRNA from 12 species